rnacentral:rRNA from 1 species
GCAAGUCGAACGAGAACGGGUUAUAGCUUGCUAUAACUGUCAGCUAAGUGGCGCACGGGUGAGUAAUGUAUAGUUAACCUGCCCUCUAGAAAGGAAUAACAGUUGGAAACGACUGCUAAUGCCCUAUAUGCCUUUAAGACAUAAGUCUGCAAGGGAAACGCUUUAGUGCUAGAGGAUGGGACUGUAUGGUAUCAGCUAGUUGGUGAGGUAAAGGCUCACCAAGGCAAUGACGCCUAACUGGUUUGAGAGGAUGAUCAGUCACACUGGAACUGAGACACGGUCCAGACUCCUACGGGAGGCAGCAGUGGGGAAUAUUGCACAAUGGAGGAAACUCUGAUGCAGCAACGCCGCGUGGAGGAUGACACUUUUCGGAGCGUAAACUCCUUUUAUAUAGGAAGAUAAUGACGGUACUAUAUGAAUAAGCACCGGCUAACUCCGUGCCAGCAGCCGCGGUAAUACGGAGGGUGCAAGCGUUACUCGGAAUCACUGGGCGUA